GCCGACAUGGCGCAGUGGUAACGCGUCGCACUUGUAUACCACUCUUGGCAUUUAUAAUGCGAAGAUCCCUAGUUCAAUUCUGGGUGUCGGCA
rnacentral:tRNA from 1 species